AUACGGAGGAUCCGAGCGUUAUCCGGAUUUAUUGGGUUUAAAGGGUGCGCAGGCGGCCAUUUAAGUCAGCGGUUAAAUCGUGGGGCUCAACCCCAUUCUGCCGUUGAUACUGGGUGGCUUGAUUGCGGUCGAGGUUGGCGGAAUUCGUUGUGUAGCGGUGAAAUGCAUAGAUAUGACGAAGAACACCGAUUGCGUAGGCAGCUGACCAGUCCGGAAAUGACGCUCAUGCACGACAGUGCGGGGAUCGAACAGGAUUAGAUACCCUGGUAGUCCGCACAGUAAACGAUGAAUACUUGUUUUCGGCGAUAUAAUGUCGGAGGCAAAGCGAAAGCGAUAAGUAUUCCACCUGGGGAGUACGCCGGCAACGGUGAAACUCAAAUGAAUUGGCGGGU
rnacentral:rRNA from 1 species